rnacentral:rRNA from 1 species
UCCAGACUCCUACGGGAGGCAGCAGUGGGGAAUAUUGCACAAUGGGGGGAACCCUGAUGCAGCGACGCCGCGUGGGUGAAGGGGCACCUCGGUGCGUAAAGCCCUAUCGGCAGGGAAGAAACAGACGGUACCUGACUAAGAAGCCCCGGCUAACUACGUGCCAGCAGCCGCGGUAAUACGUAGGGGGCAAGCGUUAUCCGGAUUCAAUGGGUGUAAAGGGAGCGUAGACGGCGACGCAAGUCUGGAGUGAAAGGCCGGGGCCCAACCCCGGGACUGCUCUGGAAACUGCGGCGCUGGAGUGCGGGAGGGGCAGGCGGAAUUCCUGGUGUAGCGGUGAAAUGCGUAGAUAUCAGGAGGAACACCGGCGGCGAAGGCGGCCUGCUGGACCGUGACUGACGUUGAGGCUCGAGAGCGUGGGGAGCAAACAGGAUUAGAUACCCCAG